rnacentral:rRNA from 1 species
UGGAGAGUUUGAUCCUGGCUCAGGACGAACGCUGGCGGCGUGCUUAACACAUGCAAGUCGAGCGGUAAGGCCUUUCGGGGUACACGAGCGGCGAACGGGUGAGUAACACGUGGGUGAUCUGCCCUGCACUCUGGGAUAAGCUUGGGAAACUGGGUCUAAUACCGGAUAUGACYRCAUSMYGCAUGKKKUGUGGUGGAAAGAUUUAUCGGUGCAGGAUGGGCCCGCGGCCUAUCAGCUUGUUGGUGGGGUAAUGGCCUACCAAGGCGACGACGGGUAGCCGACCUGAGAGGGUGACCGGCCACACUGGGACUGAGACACGGCCCAGACUCCUACGGGAGGCAGCAGUGGGGAAUAUUGCACAAUGGGCGGAAGCCUGAUGCAGCGACGCCGCGUGAGGGAUGAAGGCCUUCGGGUUGUAAACCUCUUUCAGCAGGGACGAAGCGUGAGUGACGGUACCUGCAGAAGAGCACCGGCUAACUACGUGCCAGCAGCCGCGGUA